rnacentral:rRNA from 1 species
UUUCAAUUUUUAAUAUUUUUUACAAAUAUAUAAGUCACACUGUAGUAAAACCAUUUUAUAUUAUAGUAAUCUUGAUUGAAACCUAAAUAUUUACGUUUAAGUACCGAAAGGGAAAAAUUACCAAUUUUUAUAGUAGAGAUUAACUCUCGUACCUUUUGCAUCAUGGGAAAACAAGACUUAACUUAAAAUUAAGACACCCGAACUUCAAGUGAGCUAUUUUAUAGAAAAAUCAUAAUGUUGCAAAAUUAUAUGUUAACUAUAAAAUAGAUGCGAAAUACUUACCGCACUGAAAGAUAGCUGGUUGCUUGGAAAAGAUAUAAAAGUAUCCCCCUUAUCUAAGGAGAAAUUAGUAAAAGGACAAGCUUUUACUAUAUUUAAUGGGUCCGGAAAUCUAUUCUUUUAACAGUAGGAAUAAAAUUUUCCAUCAUCAAUAUUUAUCAUAAAAUAUAAAUUAAUUAAUAGAAAAUUAAUUCAUCCAACCUUAUUUCUACCAAGCUAUGUAGACAAACUAUAUUAACCUACACAAAUGAUGUUUUCAUGAGUAUUUCUUAAAAUAUUAGUCUUUAUAGUAAAAAAGAAAUAUAAUAAAAUAGAUAAUAAAAUGUGCAUAAGGAACUCGGCAAAUUAACUACUCCGCCUGUUUAUCAAAAACAUGUCUCUUAGAAAUUAUUAAGAGUCAGGCCUGCCCAGUGAUUGCUUUAUUUAACGGCCGCGGUACCCUGACCGUGCAAAGGUAGCAUAAUCAUUUGCCUUUUAAUUGGAGGCUGGUAUGAAUGGUUCGACGAGAGUAAAGCUGUCUCAUACACAUUAACUAGAAACUAAUUUAAAGGUGCAAAAGCCUUUAUAAAACAAAAAGACGAGAAGACCCUAUUGAGCUUUAAUUUUAAUGUGCACUAACUUUAUAUUUAUAUAACUAUUUGCUCAAUAAAAAUUUUAAUUGGGGCGAUUAAGGAACACAAUGAAGCUUCCUGAUUUUAAUAUUAAAUGUUUAUAGAUUAAAUCGAUCCAGCAAUGCUGAUCAACAAAAUGAGUUACCAUAGGGAUAACAGCAUAAUUCUUUUUCAGAGCUCAUAUCGAAAAAAGAGAUUGUGACCUCGAUGUUGGACUAGGGUAACGGGAAGGUGUAGCAGCUUUCUUGCUUGGUCUGUUCGACCAAUAAUUCCCUACAUGAUCUGAGUUCAGACCGGCGUAAGCCAGGUCAGUUUCUAUCUUUUGAUAAACUAAUUUAGGCUAGUACGAAAGGACCGCUUAAAAUAAAUACUUUAUCUAUAAAUGAAACCAACUAACUUUAGUUUU